CUUUAUCAUUUUUAAGAGAGUUUAAACCUGACUGAGGUUCUCUGGUCUCUGUCCAAUCAUCACUGUCAUCAGUCUCAGGCUGUAAAUGUGUAUCUGGAUCUGAGUUCCUGGCUGGUUCUGGUCCUCCACAGUCCUCUCCAUCAGCUCCAGUUUCCAUCUGUUCAGUGUGUCUUUGAUGAAGCUGUGAGGACUGAGGUUUCUCUUCAUCAUCUUCACUCUUCACAGGGACAGGAGUGAA